rnacentral:lncRNA from 10 species
GCUCCGAGAGGCGGCGGGCUGGGUGCGUCCUGGGUAUUGUAGUCAGGACGCUGGUAAGAAGCGUCCAGUGCGCAUGCGCACUGCUUCAGCGCAGCGAAUGGCUCCGCACAGCGCCAGGGAUCACCCACCCGGAAGUCUGCCCGGCCUGGCCGCCAAGUGUCACUAGGUAUCCGCGUCAAGCCGGAACCAUGUAUAGCAGCUCCUUGUGUGUAGGGAGAAAGUUAAAACUGCCAUCUAAGGGUGUCGAUGGGAAGACUAAAAGUAGGCUCACCCACCUGCUGUGAAGCAGCGCGCGCGAGCUGUUACUAACAGUAGUGAAAAGCCGGGAUCCCUGCCCCCGAGGCACGCACUGGGGCGCCGGCUGACCCAGAGACCUGAGGGAGACUCAUUGCCGGAGCUGCACAGCCUGUGGGGCUGGAGGGGAACCGUCGCCCUUGGCGGGCUUCCCCAACCGCCAAGGCCUGAGGACCGCCGAGGGCGUGGCGGGAGCCUGUCCUCGGUUUUACAGGCCGGCUGGGGAGCUGCGUUGGAGGAGAGAGCCAGGGGCUGGGGCCCGGUGAUGGAGCCUGCCUUGGGGAGUGCAUGUGUUGGAGAGAGGUGGGAAGCAGAUAGGAUAACCCUGACCUGAGCCAUGGAGACGCAAGGACAGGACUGGUAGACGGGUCAGUGGGCAGCAACUUAAGACUGACCUCGCUUGAGCCUUUGCCUGCGAACGAGGUAUAAUACCCACCUCGGGGGCUUGAGGAUCAAAUGAGGGGCUCCACCCACGGCAAAGUGUCACUAAGCGGGAUGGAGGAGGAUGCAGGAAGAGGAGUCUGGGAGGACCCGCUCUGAAAAGGAUGGAACUCGAGAGCACCAUUUUCAGGGACGAAGAUAAGCUGUUUAUUUGGGGCAGGCUGUGGGGAGAGCUGUGCAGCAAACAGCCACCCGGGGCCCAGGGCAGAGGCCUUCCAGGCUGGCUCGGGCACUUCUGGGUCCCAUGUCCCUGGUUUUGCAUCAUCCAUACCAAUCACUCCAUGUUGCUAUGUUCCUUCACCAGAAGACUGGGGGCUCAAAAAGGGCAGGGCAGCCCUCACUCACCAGUCUCCCCAGCCUCACCCAGCUCAGCACAGGGCACCAGGCAGGGGCUGAGAGUGCUGGGGUAGGUGGGUGUGGUCAAACAGCUUGGAAAGAGUUUGGCCUGCUCAUUGCAUUCCCCUCAGCUCAUCCUGGGGAUGUCUGCUCAUGGGAGAAUGGCAGAGGGAUCCCCAACAGUCAUUCCUGAUACUCCUCUCCCUGUAUCAUGUCAGCACAUAGUAGGUGUGGCCUAUGUAUGGCAGAUUCAUUUCUGCCCCCAAUAGGAUUUGCUGUAGUUUGGAUGUGUGUCCCCUCAAAAUCUCAUGUUGAAAUGUGAUCCCAAUGUUGGAAGUGGGGCCUGGUGGGAAGUAAUUGGGUCGUGAGGGCAGAUCCCUUAUGAAUGGUUCAGCACCAUCCCCUUGGUGAUGAGUUCUUGCUUAGUUCACACAAGAUCUGGUUAUUUAAGAGUCUAAGACCUCCCCUUCUCUCUUACUCCUGCUCUCACUAUGUGAUAUACUGGCUCCCCAUCACCUUAUGUCAUGAUCUUAAGCUUCCUGAGGUUGCACCAGAAGCAGAUGCCAGCACCAUACUUCCUGAAAAGCCUGCAGAACUGUGAGCCAAUUAAACCUCUUUAUAAAUUACCUAGCGUCAGGUAUUUCUUCAUAGCAAUGCAAGAAGGCCUAAUACAGAGUUUGACUUCAUUUAUUUAUGCCUUCAUUCACCAACUUUCACUGACAGCUACUCAGUGCAGGCCAUGUGCCAGGUGAUGCUGGGGACAGAUGCUGUCCCUGACCUGGAGAGGUCAUGGCAGGGGUGCAAGAGCAAGGGCAAGUGCCAAGGGCUGAGGGGCACAGAGGCAGCACCCUCACCAGCCUGCAGUGGGGGUUGGCGGGUAGAAGGCUUCCUGGAGGAGGGACCAGGGUUCCCAAUUGCACAGCCAA